AGCAGCCGCGGUAAUUCCAGCUCCAAUAGCGUAUAUUAAAGUUGUUGCAGUUAAAAAGCUCGUAGUUGAAUUUCGGGGUCAGUAGAUUGGUCGUGCCACUGGUAUGCACUGGUCUUACUGAUUCCUCCUUCCUGAUGAACCGUAAUGCCAUUAAUUUGGUGUUGCGGGGAAACUGGACUGUUACUUUGAAAAAUUAGAGUGUUUAAAGCAGGCUAACGCUUGAAUACAUUAGCAUGGAAUAAUGAAAUAGGACGUUCGAUCUUAUUUUGUCGGUUUCUAGGAUUGACGUAAUGAUUAAUAGGGAUAGUUGGGGGCAUUAGUAUUCAAUUGUCAGAGGUGAAAUUCUUGGAUUUAUUGAAGACUAACUACUGCGAAAGCAUUUGCCAAGGAUGUUUUCAUUAAUCAAGACGAAAGUUAGGGGAUCGAAGACGAUCAGAUACCGUCGUAGUCUUAACCAUAAACUAAUGCCGACUAGGGAUCGGAUGAUGUUAAUUUUAAUGUAC
rnacentral:rRNA from 1 species